rnacentral:rRNA from 1 species
GAUGAACGCUGGCGGCGUGCCUAAUACAUGCAAGUCGAGCGAACAGAUGAGGAGCUUGCUCCUCUGACGUUAGCGGCGGACGGGUGAGUAACACGUGGAUAACCUACCUAUAAGACUGGGAUAACUUCGGGAAACCGGAGCUAAUACCGGAUAAUAUAUUGAACCGCAUGGUUCAAUAGUGAAAGACGGUUUUGCUGUCACUUAUAGAUGGAUCCGCGCCGCAUUAGCUAGUUGGUAAGGUAACGGCUUACCAAGGCAACGAUGCGUAGCCGACCUGAGAGGGGGAUCGGCCACACUGGAACUGAGACACGGUCCAGACUCCUACGGGAGGCAGCAGGAGGGAAUCUGCCGCAAUGGGCGAAAGCCUGACGGAGCAACGCCGCGUGAGUGAUGAAGGUCUUCGGAUCGUAAAACGCUGUUAUUAGGGAAGAACAAAUGUGUAAGUAACUAUGCACGUCUUGACGGUACCGAAGCAGAAAGCCACGGCUAACUACGU